rnacentral:lncRNA from 1 species
AGAUUUCGGCAUUAGAUAGGGAUGUCGAGGGUGGAGAAAAGGGAAAAGGGGGUGGAAACCCUUAUGUGGAUCUUGGGUCCGCCGUAGCUUUCUCAUGAGCGAGUGGGUGUGAGAGAGAGAGAGAGAGAGAGAGAGAGCAAAGUCAGGCUCUCAAAGCAUCGAACUAGUGGGGGGGAGAGGGACUGUGGGAGAGCUGUUAUAGCUGAACCUGAUGCAUCCUGUGAACCAUUUUGACUUGGUGUCGGUUCAUUUGGUUACGGGCCGAACCGUUUGGUUUGGGUUGGUACAGCCUGAACCAUUUGGUUAGGGUUGGUUCAGCAAUCACUAGUUCUAACAACUAUAUUAAUCUUGCAUAGUCGGUUUCCUUUACUCUCUUGAAUCCAAAAGAAGAUGCCCCAAGAUGGAGAGGCACUGGUUUCUCAAAUAGAUUGAUUUGAGAUUUUUUUAUAAAUUUGUUGGAGAAGGAAAGUUGUGGUGUCAGCUGAAGAGGUAUGUUUUACAUAUACAUAUAUAUGUAUGUACACAAACACACAAGCAAACAGGCAUGCGCGUGG